AUUGAACGCUGGCCGCAUGCCUUACACAUGCAAGUCGAACGGCAGCACGGGAGCAAUCCUGGUGGCGAGUGGCGAACGGGUGAGUAAAGUAUCGGAACGUGCCCAGUCGUGGGGGAUAACGUAGCGAAAGGUACGUUAAUACCGCAUACGAUCUAAGGAUGAAAGCGGGGGAUCGCAAGACCUCGCGGGAUUGGAGCGGCCGAUAUCAGAUUGGGUAGUUGGUGGGGUGAAGGCUCACCAAGCCGACGAUCUGUAGCCGGUCUGAGAGGACGACAGGGCGACCUGGGACUGAGCCACGGCCAAGCCGCCUACGGGAGGAAGCAGUGGGGAAUUUUGGACAAUGGGCGAAAGCCUGAACCAGCCAUGCCGCGUGCAGGAUGAAGGCCUUCGGGUUGUAAACUGCUUUUGUACGGACAGAAAAGGUUUGGCCUAAUAAGCUGAGCUCAUGACGGUACCGUAAGAAUAAGCACCGGCUAACUACGUGCCAGCCGCCGCAGUAA
rnacentral:rRNA from 1 species